rnacentral:rRNA from 1 species
AGUGAACGCUGGCGGUAGGCCUAACACAUGCAAGUCGAACGGCAGCACAGUAAGAGCUUGCUCUUACGGGUGGCGAGUGGCGGACGGGUGAGGAAUACAUCGGAAUCUACUUUUUCGUGGGGGAUAACGUAGGGAAACGUACGCUAAUACCGCAUACGACCUACGGGUGAAAGCAGGGGAUCUUCGGACCUUGCGCGAUUGAAUGAGCCGAUGUCGGAUUAGCUAGUUGGCGGGGUAAAGGCCCACCAAGGCGACGAUCCGUAGCUGGUCUGAGAGGAUGAGCAGCCACACUGGAACUGAGACACGGUCCAGACUCCUACGGGAGGCAGCAGUGGGGAAUAUUGGACAAUGGGCGCAAGCCUGAUCCAGCCAUACCGCGUGGGUGAAGAAGGCCUUCGGGUUGUAAAGCCCUCUUGUUGGGAAAGAAAAGCAGCAGGUUAAUACCCCGCUGUUCUGACGGUACCCAAAGAAUAAGCACCGGCUAACUUCGUG